rnacentral:rRNA from 1 species
UAAUACGGAGGAUGCAAGCGUUAUCCGGAUUCAUUGGGUUUAAAGGGUGCGCAGGCGGGCUUGUAAGUCAGUGGUGAAAUGCUGCCGCUUAACGGUAGAAUUGCCAUUGAUACUGCAGGUCUUGAAUAUGGUUGAGGUAGGCGGAAUGUGUUGUGUAGCGGUGAAAUGCAUAGAUAUGACACAGAACACCGAUUGCGAAGGCAGCUUACUAAGCCAUGAUUGACGCUGAGGCACGAAAGCGUGGGGAGCGAACAGG